rnacentral:rRNA from 1 species
GAUGAACGCUGGCGGCGUGCCUAAUACAUGCAAGUCGAGCGAACAGACGAGGAGCUUGCUCCUCUGACGUUAGCGGCGGACGGGUGAGUAACUCGUGGAUAACCUACCUAUAAGACUGGGAUAACUUCGGGAAACCGGAGCUAAUACCGGAUAAUAUAUUGAACCGCAUGGUUCAAUAGUGAAAGACGGUUUUGCUGUCACUUAUAGAUGGAUCCGCGCCGCAUUAGCUAGUUGGUAAGGUAACGGCUUACCAAGGCAACGAUGCGUAGCCGACCUGAGAGGGUGAUCGGCCACACUGGAACUGAGACACGGUCCAGACUCCUACGGGAGGCAGCAGUAGGGAAUCUUCCGCAAAGGGCGAAAGCUUGACGGAGCAACGCCGCGUGAGUGAUGAAGGUCUUCGGAUCGUAAAACUCUGUUAUUAGGGAAGAACAAAUGUGUAAGUAACUAUGCACGUCUUGACGGUACCUAAUCAGAAAGCCACGGCUAACUACGUG